AUAUCAAUAAGCGGAGGAAAAGAAACUAACAAGGAUUCCCCUAGUAACUGCGAGUGAAGCGGGAAAAGCUCAAAUUUAAAAUCUGGUAGUCUUUGGCUGCCCGAGUUGUAAUCUAGAGAAGCGUUAUCCGCGCUGGACCGUGUGUAAGUCUCCUGGAAUGGAGCGUCAUAGAGGGUGAGAAUCCCGUCUUUAACACGGACUACCAGGGCUUUGUGAUGCGCUCUCAAAGAGUCGAGUUGUUUGGGAAUGCAGCUCUAAAUGGGUGGUAAAUUCCAUCUAAAGCUAAAUAUUGGCGAGAGACCGAUAGCGAACAAGUACCGUGAGGGAAAGAUGAAAAGAACUUUGGAAAGAGAGUUAAACAGUACGUGAAAUUGUUGAAAGGGAAACGCUUGAAGUCAGUCACGUUGGUCAGGGAUCAACCUUGCUUUUGCUUGGUGUACUUUCUGGUUAACGGGUCAGCAUCAAUUUUGACCAGUGGAAAAAGAUCAGGGGAAUGUGGCAUCUUCGGAUGUGUUAUAGCCUCUGGUCGUAUACAUUGGUUGGGAUUGAGGAACUCAGCACGCCGCAAGGCCGGGUUUUACCACGUUCGUGCUUAGGAUGCUGGCAUAAUGGCUUUAAUCGA
rnacentral:rRNA from 1 species